UUAGAAUGAAAUUCAAAACAGUGUGGCUGUGGCCAUUGAUUGACACAUUAAAUUCAUCCAUUGACUGGGACAGUUUAGGUGAACGUUUGUAUGUAACGACCACUGCUCACUAUGUACUUUUUAAAGACACUUAAACUAUGGGGUCACCAAAGGUUCUCAACACCUUAAUAAAGUAAUUCGAAAAAUUAAUCAGAAAUAACACGAUGUUUUGAUAUAUAUCAAUUAUAUAAAUCAAAACAUAAAGGUUAUUCCUGAUUAAUUUUUUGAAUUAUUUUAUAAUUAAAGGCGUUAAGAAACCUUUGGUGACCCCACA
rnacentral:lncRNA from 1 species